UUUAGAACGAUGCCAAAAUAUUCCUUUUUAUUAAGCCUCCAAUUAUCUGUUUUUCAGUAGCGAAAGGGUUCCACAUCAUUGGUGAAGUAUGAAAAGCAAGCAGUGCUUAUUAUUGAAUCUCAAAGUGCAAUGCUGGAGCCUCGAUCUACAGGAACAGAAACAAGUCCUGCCUAGCAUCAAGACCUUAAACCACCCAAGGAACCAUCAAAGCUGGCCAACACCACUGAUGUUAGUAGAAGAGGCAAAAGUAAUAACUCCAUGCCAAAAAGGCUAAUUUUCCCAGCAUUUACCAAAACCAGCGUGAAUUCCUCAAUGGCCAAUGUCACAGAAGUUGCUUGUCGAAAAAUGUAGAGUUUUAUAAGCAUUGACGUUGUGGACAGAAAGAGGCCAACUAAACUUCAGUCCCUAGGUAAGAUUGGAUCUUUAUCCACACUUGAUAUCUCAUUAUUGUGAUCCAGGUUCCUCUCUGCUUGAUGUCUUUCCAAGAUUCCCCUGUAUUUGUUUUAUCCUUGACAGGCUAGUGAACAUCUACCAGCACUUGUAUCAAAAGGUUUGGAAAGGGAACAGCUGAACUUAAUCUUCAGAUAAAUGCAGCAUACCGUGACCACAGAUAAAUGGUCUCUCCCGUGAACAGAAAAGCCAUGCCUGUAGCUCUGAAAAGCUUUCGAUUUGGGUUUCUCCCUAGGGAAUAGUGAGGAUCGUGUUGUUGUGGUUGUGAUCCUGUAUAGUGUGGUGAGCUGGGCUGCGGACACUCUCAGGUAUGUACCUGUAGCUUGGCUACCCAGAGGAUUUUGUGGCUUGGGACAGGAAUGCCCUGUCGGGUGGUACGCU
rnacentral:lncRNA from 1 species